UGGUUGUAGCCAAAUCAAAUGGUUGAGAAGUUUACUGGCCCGCCAUUGUGAGAUUUCCCAAAGUCUCUAUCAAUGGAUCUGCUUACUGAGCUUCUCAUAAUU